rnacentral:SRP_RNA from 2 species
GCCGGGCAUGGUGGCACAUGCCUGUAAUCCCAGCUUCUUGGGAGGCUGAGGCGGGAGAAUCGCUGGGACCCGGGAGGCAGAGGCUGCAGUGAGCCGAGAUCGCACUACUGUACUCCAGUCUUGGCAACAGGGGAAGACUCCAUCUCAAAAAAAAUAAAAUAAAAUAAAAUAAAAAGGUACGUAUAAUCUGGACAGAGAUGUUUUGCUGAAAUUAAGGACACAGGCUUGGAUGAACUGGCCCAGGUCAGAAAUAGAGGCAGUCAAAACUCCUGUGCUGAUCAGUAGUGGGAUGGUACCUGUGAAUAGCCACUGUAUUGCAGCCUGGGCAACAGAGUGAGACUCUGUCUCAA